ACUGGGAAACUUUAUUUGUAGUUUUUAAUUUGAUUAAAUUAGUAAAUAAUUUUUUCUUCUUCUUAUUCUUAACUUUUAGCUUUAUUUUUCUACUGAGAAACUUCUGAAUUUAUUUCCUGAGCGUUAAACUGUCUCGCACGUCGUUGUGGAGGAAUCGUUGCUUCAUUGAGACGGACAAUCGUUCAUGGACUCUGACUGGAUCCCUGCAGCACCGAUUCUUUCCUUUGUCAUCUUUCUCAUCUGUUUGCUGCUGUGCUUGAGAUCAUUGUCAUGUUGCGUGACUUAAUUUGAUCUGAGCUUUAGCUGUGGGACAGAUGGCCUCACAUUUGACUCCAGAGUACUUUGGUAUACAAGAGUUCAUGCUCAAUAACUGCAAGGUGCCCAAAUCAUCAACCGUGCAUACAGUUGGUGUGAGGUGUUUGUACUGAUGUGUUGUGUUUGGUUUACUCCACUCCUUGUUCUGUGCAUUAUAUACAAACAUCUGCAUUUUGCUCUCAUCUGUCUGAAGGACAUUGUUCCAGAAGUCUUGUGGUUUGUUAAGAUGCAGUAAAUCUAAGUUGUGCUGCAUGUUCUUUUUAGAGAGACAAGACUUUCUUCUGCAAAUCUGCUAAAUAAGCUGUACUUGUUUAGUCUUUUAAUAUUCAGUCUUUCAGUGGUCCUGUCCUGACCUUAAACAUUUAAAUGCGGCCUGUAGUUUCUGGAUUGGAGCUGCUGGGAUCUUUUAUUUCUCUGAGCAUUGUAUGGUCUGACCUUGAGGGGAAUUUGGUAGAUUGUGGCACUGUGUUCACACACUGAAUGCUCUUGAACAGCAACCUACCAAAACUUGUUUAAUUCAUAGAGGUGCUCCCAAAUCCUGAUAAUCGGUUAAUCAAACCAACUGACCUGCUUAACUUUUAUGGAAGCAUUAAGGGACUACUACAUUUUUUACACACCUCUUGAGGAGUAAACAAUGACACAGUGUAAUAUAUCAUGUGUUGUUCAUUUAAGGUUGGAUUUACCUCAUUUCAAGUCCUGAAAUAGACACAAUGCUUUUAUUAUGUCCUGAUAUAUUAAAUGUUAUUACUCAAAGAGUGUACUUUCUGUUUCAUUGGAGAGACAUUGGUUUGUUCUUCCUCUUACUGUAAAUGUGUUAAAAAAAAAGAAUUAAAUAUUUAAUAAACCUUACAGGUGUGUGUAAACACCUGUAAUGAC